rnacentral:tRNA from 1 species
GGUUCCAUGGUCUAAUGGUUAUGAUUUUUGUCUUUGACACAAAAGAUGUGUGUUCAAUUCACACUGGAACCU